AUUGAACGCUGGCGGCAGGCCUAACACAUGCAAGUCGAGCGGAUGAAGGGAGCUUGCUCCUGGAUUCAGCGGCGGACGGGUGAGUAAUGCCUAGGAAUCUGCCUGGUAGUGGGGGAUAACGUCCGGAAACGGGCGCUAAUACCGCAUACGUCCUGAGUGAGAAAGUGGGGGAUCUUCGGACCUCACGCUAUCAGAUGAGCCUAGGUCGGAUUAGCUAGUUGGUGGGGUAAAGGCCUACCAAGGCGACGAUCCGUAACUGGUCUGAGAGGAUGAUCAGUCACCCUGGAACUGAGACACGGUCCAGACUCCUACGGGGGGCCGCAGUGGGGAAUAUUGGACAAUGGGCGAAAGCCUGAUCCAGCCAUGCCGCGUGUGUGAAGAAGGUCUUCGGAUUGUAAAGCACUUUAAGUUGGGAGGAAGGGCAGUAAGUUAAUACCUUGCUGUUUUGACGUUACCAACAGAAUAAGCACCGGCUAACUUCGUG
rnacentral:rRNA from 1 species